rnacentral:lncRNA from 1 species
GACAAGUUUUUCACUCAGCUGCGAUGUCUUUUUCAGACUUAAACAAAAAAUACUGCCACAUGGCCAACGUCACUCCUACUUCUUGCUACUUUGUUUGUACCUUAGUACAAACUGUUGUUGUGAUUUUGUGGGCGCAAAAAAGAUAUCAGCAAAAAACACCCCUAAUUCAAAGCAUGUUUCCUUGUUGCCCAUCUCUUUUUUUGAAGGUUGACUGCACAAGUUCAUGCUGUUAAAGCAGAGCGUAAAAGUAAUAUGAUUGUUGCAUGGGUAAUGGCGCUGCAUGCAACAAUCCCUUCUCUAGAUGAAACAAAUGUAUCCAGCCUUGAGCAUCCAAAGAGCACCCGUGUGUGACAAAUACAAACACCCAGCAGUGCUUAUUUUCUUUUGUCAUAACAUUUGUUAAGUUCAGUAUAAGUUGCUUUUGAGUGAGUGGCACAGAGGAUGUUUAUACAUGAGAAUACAAAGUGCACAUCUAUUAGUGAGUUAGUAUUUGGUAAACGGGUGUAAGCAUGACUUAAUCAUUUCAUAUUUGGAUUUUUUAUGCCUUUACAUGCCUACUAAUGAGCCAAAAACAUUACAAUCACCCGCCUAACAUUUCAUAAGCCCCCAUCUCGUCUGGCCAGGAUAUUUGUGGCCCAUACCCAACAAGACUCCCAACCUUAACUCCACAAGACUUCUGAAGGUGUGCUCUGGUACCAAGAAAUUAGCAGCAGAUCCUUUAAGUUCCUGGAAAUCGAAAGUUUGGGCCUCUUUGGAUUGGACUUAGUUGUCCCGCAUUUCUUACAGAGAGCAGGAGAAUCUUUAAGCCAUGUCAACACUGUGAACUUUUUCUCCUGUUGCUCCAGGCUACAUACCCCUUGGUGCAGUUCUGAUUCCAAUGUAGGCUCUACUGGUGAAGGACAAGGGUCAGCAUCGACACUCUGACCAGGACACAGCUGUGAUGCUCUGUGUCCUGAUACUUUUCUAUCAAAACCACCAGCAUUCACUUCAACACAGUUUGAGCUGCAGUAGCUUCUCUGCAUUAUCAGAUCAGACAACCCAGUGAUGCUGUGAUAAUCACUUACAUUCUGCGAAAGGCACCCCAGAUUUUGUGUUUAAACACCUUUAUGUUACGUUUGGUCAUCAUUUCAUUUGCAGUUUUAGGGAUGAUGCUGUCACAUUUGUUUCAGAUGGGGAAUGGUUUUUUCUUGGCCUACAUUAACACCAGGUAAGAUGACAAAAACUACAAUAACAUUCAAUGUGUUUUUAUUGAUUGGUCGGCAGGAUGCCGCUCACUAUGGUGUUGGGUUCAAGAGUUGUCACACUCACACUCGAGCUGUUCCUCCAUUGUUCCUCCAAAGCUCUCCAGCAGGCGCUCAUAUAAAGCUUAACGUCAGUUGGGGAGAAAUAGCAGCACUAAUCUCAGAAUGAUGCCCUUAUUUCCAUCAUUACAAUGAAAUGGGAGGAAAAAAACAAAUGUGGUUUUGUUUUAUUCUACCCCGAUUUUUUCUGAGGGCUGGUGUUUCUUCGCGACAUUUUAUAGAGCUGCUGUCGUCUAAGUGGCAGCCGCAGUUGUUGCAGACUGUGGCGAGCUGUUGGUGGCAGGGGUUGUGUCGUGGGCUUGUGACUCACUUUGUUAUUGUUCUUUGGGGAGAAUUGACUUGCCGCCACUUUGUGCUUUGAAGAUAAUUUCAAUCUGAUUUUGAAGGAGAGGUACUUUAAAAUUUUGAUGAAGCAGCAACUGCUACCACGUGUGUCCUCUCGUUUAGAGCUGAGGUUGCUCGUCAGGAAGAUUUGGUCAUUUUUUUUGCAUUGCAGACAACAGACUCUAGUCCUCCUGAGGUCUCCCUAAACACGAGCUACGCCUCUGCACUGGUCUGCUGAAUUAGGCAGUUGACUGAUUCAUAUUUGGGUGUUUUAAUUUGCCUGUGUUUUAUAGCAGGCUGCUGAGCCGGCGGUUUCCUCAUUAAAGGACACAUGAAAGCAAGCUGUAAAGCAGCCUCGGUAUAACCAGCCUGCGCUGACGUCUGAAGGGGAUACAAGCGACCGAAGGACCGACCAAGUCCCGAGCCAGCCGGUCUGAGCCGGAGGGCCUCACCCUCUGAGCUGGGCAGCCAGUGGCGGGACACCAGACACACCACACUGAAUUUUGUCCACACUAGGAUACAAUACCGCUGUGAUGUGUCAGCAGGAGUUCACUCUAUGAUGGAAGAUGUGUUUGCAUUGUGGGAUUAAAACAUGGUCCAGUCUUAAAAUAUAGAAACUAUUACUUUUUUAAGAGUCACGAUACCUCCCCCCUUGCUAUAGAUACUUGAAUUCACACCCAAAUGAAUCUAAGCUAUCCCUGCAAACAAAUUUAAUCCCACUAUAUGCAGGUGAUAGACUCUUAUAUCCCUUCAAUUUCUGUUGCUUCUCUUUCCUCAGCUUUUGAACUUCAUUGCACACCUGGUUACCCCCCCUUCUCGCUGCCAUUUAAAGAAUAAAACAGCUCUUAGAGUCGCCGCUGUGAUAAAUACCCGAGGCAACGGCGUUCAUUAUUUCCCCAUUACAACUGCUGGUGGAUCCUCUCGGCUGUUUAACGACUCUCUCCUUAAGGAAGUAAGAGCAUUGGGGUCACAACAGGGAGGGGGGGGCCCUAAGCACCCCGUGAUUCAUAUCAAAUGCACGUUAAGUGGCAUGUGGCUAAAUUAGUGGCUGGAAUCUCGCAGGUAUAAUAGCUCACCAGCAGUGCGUAACGAGCCACCGUCUCACUGUGUAGUAAUGUGGCCUUGAUAUCUUUUACAUGAACCCACCAAUAACAGUAAGGUCAUUUAACUGGAGUGCAUAUCCACACCCACAGUGUCUGCACAUCAUCACAACACCCACACAAGUCCUCUUCCUGUUUUGUAGACAACAUUCCCCCCAUCCUGAGUCAUUGACUCUGUUUAGGUUCAUUAGUGAAGAUGAUUCCGUUGCAGACAGCGGGUCAGCGUGUAACACGUCAAGACGACAGCGAGGCACAGAACAGCAGCUAAUUAUAACUAUAAGGACCUCGUUUGAAUAUCGGUGGGGGUGUGGGGGAGCUGUUACAAAACAUGGUGCCGCCUCCUGACUCCAAGUUUGCAUUCAGAGAGCACAGGUAAAUAUCUGGGGUAGAAAAGACAUCAUUAGAUCUACACUGCUGGUCUCUCUUAUUUUUUUACUCACUUUCACUCCAACUUCUACUUGCUGUGUCUGAUUGAGUUUUAUCAGUAUUUUCCCGAUGUUUACGGUAAAACGAAAAACAGGGAAAGAUUAAUCCAAGAAGAAGUAAAGCCUUUGCUGAUAGGCGUCCUUGUUAGGGCCUGUCGCCACCAGCAGCAUUGUUGUGCCAUAGUGCCUAUUUUCUGUGCAAAAACCAGAGCAGAUCCAUAUUUUUUAAUACUCAGCGUCCUUUGACAUUAGCUGUUUGUGUACCUUUGCAGCUUUCUGAAAAGUGUUCAAUUUCCAGAACUCUGCUGUGAUUGUUAGUAUCACUUCUUCUUUAUCGGAUGAUUAAAUUAAAGAAGGAGCAUCAAUGUCAUCAACGACAACAGGAGAGGGCAAUCUAACCACACUCGACUCUUUGAGGGUACAAUCUUCAGGUCUGUAGCAGGACAGGGUUCUUUCGUUGUUUUUACAUUUUAUUUUGAUUUUUUUAAGUACAUUAUAGAGCUUACAGAGGAAUUCAAAGCAGACACAGUCUUAAUAAGACAAGUCAAUGUGCUGUGAGAAAACCCAGAAACAGUGGAGGUGAGAAGUGCUCUGAAUUUUUGUAGGAAGGGGAUUUUGGAUCAAUCAAAACAUUUCAAUUGGGCCCCACCACUUCACCAUCUAAGAUGUCUUGUAGGGCCCCUUAUUGUUGCAGAUCCCCACAUAGGGUGCCCUCAGUUGUGGAUGCUGUCAGCCCAAAAAUGGUGUUGAUGGACACAGGCCCUAGUGACUAGGAUUGGUGAUCAAAGUCAUUUAUCAAGAUAUGACCCAGCAAAUGUCUACAUUUUUUCUUGAGUCCUUGUUUAUAAAAACAAGUUUUCAAUAUUAAGGGGAAGAGCGCUCAUAUUUCCUAAAUAACAGUGACUUAAAGCUCUUUUAAGGAACUUAUAGUUUGUUGGUGCAAAUUUUGGUGCACCCUACAGACCAAACACUGUCUGCCAACCUUAUGUACAUGUGGAAGUAUUGUUGUUUUUUAGGCAAAAUAAAAAAUUAAAUAGACACAAGUCUCAUUUUAAUUGAUUUGAUACCAAGUGAAACAUGUUUUAAGUUGUAUUUUGCUUCUUUGAAUUGACUGAGUUUGAUGUUACUAGUUUGUUUGGCCUCGUUUGAAGAUAUAAAUGCUUAAGUAGUUUUAAGCUUCAGUGCUGAAAAAGCACCCUUCAUUUAAGUUUACUCUGCUUUUCUGGAUCGUGUCAACUCAAUGUCUUCAAUCUUAUUUUCAGUUCUUAGCCACAAGAAAAGUUUGUUUAGUGUACUGGCAGUAAGCGCCACACAUGCUUCUAUAAAAAGUUUGUUGGAAAUUUCUCAUGGCUUGUUUGUGGUGUGCAAACCGGAAUUCAUUCAUACUUUCCUGCUUUCUGUCUCUGCCCUAUUCUCUUAUUUUACACCACACCUCUCUUGGUAUUACCCCCCACACACCCUCUGUCACCUGUGACUAACUGCACUGUGCACACUCGAUUCAUCACACACUACUGCACAUGCUCAGUAGCUCUUCAUUAUAUUAAUUACUCUCAUUGGAAGAGUAAUCAUCAGGCCCCGUCAGAAUUCAUCACCGCCUGGUUCCCACAGAGACCCAGGU